UCCACACUACUUCAUCUAGCGCGCUUAUGAGAGAAGAACAAACUGAAACAUUAGUCUUGGAUUCAGAAUGAUAAGUAAUCCAUUAUCCUCUCUUCCAUCUAUGCGCACGGCUAGGAACAAAAGAAUCAGAAACCCAGCCAACCAUUUCUCUCCCAAACCGUAAACUAUCAAGAAGAACACCUCAAGUGUUGAUUGCAUGACCUUCCUUCUCAUCCUCCCCAUCAACCGUGAACCCCUAAGACCAGAACUUUCACCUCAACUCUCACUUUGUCCCCUUACUGUUCGGAACCGAAGGUACACCUCAAGGAGGUGAGACAUUCUUUGGUGGUCUUCCUUGUUCGUCUUUGCCUUAGGCGAUUUGAGGGAGACCUCUCUGCAUGCAGCUCGAAAUCCAAAGUCUCCUCAUGGCCUUUUUGCUUCUCUUGUGCCCAGCCGAAGACCUUCAUUCAAGGAGGUAAAACAAUUCUACUCCUUGUUCAACGCAACCUAAAUCAGUUCUGAUUAAGUUUUGUUUCUUUCCACUGCAUGCCCUUGACUUAGCCGCGAUGGAAUCUCUCCUUCCCUUGUAUACAAUUGGUUUCGGCCUCUUGGAGCAUUGGAUAGGUGAAGGGCAACUCCUCAUUUGGUUAUGAUCUGUUGUAUGCUGGUGAACAGGUGCGCAAAACCCUUAAGAACGUGGGCUAAUUUUGGUGCUGUUUGCAUUAAUAUUUGGACGCAUGCAAGGAGUACUUAGAAGCAUUUGAGGAAGUGUUUGAUGACAUGAUCACAUGAAUAAAUCUAUUUGAGUUAUGCUGUUGGCAACACU